rnacentral:rRNA from 1 species
CACGUAGGGCGCGAGCGUUGUCCGGAAUUAUUGGGCGUAAAGAGCUCGUAGGCGGCCUGUUGCGUCCGCUGUGAAAGCCCGGGGCUUAACCCCCGGGGUCGGCAGUGGAUACGGGCAGGGCUAGAGGUAGGUAGGGGAGAAUGGAAUUCCCGGUGUAGCGGUGAAAUGCGCAGAUAUCGGGAGGAACACCGGUGGCGAAGGCGGUUCUCUGGGCCUUACCUGACGCUGAGGAGCGAAAAGCGUGGGGAGCGAACAGGAU